GGAGUUUGGUCCGUGUCUCAGUACCAAUGUGGGGGACCUUCCUCUCAGAACCCCUACUGAUCGUAGGCUUGGUGGGCCGUUACCCCGCCAACAACCUAAUCAGACGCAUCCCCAUCCCUUAGCGAUAAAUCUUUACUCCUCUUCAGAUGUCCUCGAAGGAGACCAUAGGGCAUUAAUCCGGUUUUCACCGGGCUAUUCCCUACCCAGGGGCAGGUUGGAUACGUGUUACUCACCCGUGCGCCGGUCGCCAUCAAAGGAAGCAAGCUUCCUUCAUGCUGCCCCUCGACUUGCAUGUGUUAAGCCUGUAGCUAGCGUUCAUC
rnacentral:rRNA from 1 species